UUUUUAGGAUGAUUUAAUAAAUUUAUGCUAUUGUUUGAUUUAAAUGUAUAAUUCACCGGAAGACGAAAUUUUAUAACUCAAAUUUUAAAGUUUUAAGUUGUAUUUGUUUAUUUUGUCAAAUGUUUAAUAUUGUAUAAUUGUAUUUUGAUUGUUGUUUCUCGGAUUUCACCCGUAGUACACCAUCCCAUAUUAAUAUCGAAUCAAACCCGUCAAUUCUAGGAUUUCACCCGUGGUAAUAUUUAAUUGUAUAAUAAUAACUUGAUUGUCAUUCUAGGAUUUCACUCCUACUUCUAUCGCAAAUUAUUAUCAACCCAAACCAGUCUUUUU
rnacentral:sRNA from 1 species